AGUGAACGCUGGCGGCGUGCCUAACACAUGCAAGUCGAACGAUGAUUGGAGAGCUUGCUCUUCAUGAUUAGUGGCGCACGGGUGAGUAACGCAUAGGUAAUGUGCCCCUUAGUCUGGGAUAGCCACUGGAAACGGUGGUUAAUACUAGAUACUCCUUCUCAUUAUAAGAUGAGUCGGGAAAGUUUUUCGCUAAGGGAUCAGCCUAUGUCCUAUCAGCUAGUUGGUGAGGUAACGGCUCACCAAGGCAAUGACGGGUAUCUGGUUUGAGAGGAUGAUCAGACACACUGGAACUGAGACACGGCCCAGACUCCUACGGGAGGCAGCAGUGAGGAAUAUUGCACAAUGGAGGAAACUCUGAUGCAGCAACGCCGCGUGGAGGAUGACGCAUUUCGGUGUGUAAACUCCUUUUAAGAGGGAAGAUUAUGACGGUACCUCUUGAAUAAGCACCGGCUAACUCCGUGCCAGCAGCCGCGGUAAUACGGAGGGUGCAAGCGUUACUC
rnacentral:rRNA from 1 species